UUAAUAGAUGUAGUUUGAAGGAUAUAUUGUCUAUUGAUUAGUUAUAAUGUUUGGAAGUGUAAAGAAAGUAUUUUUAUGUUUUAGUAAUUUUUGGGGAAAAAUUGGGUUAGAUAUAGGGUAUUAGUAUUGUGAAAGAAAAUUUAAUUUAUUGAUAAAGAAAAGUUUAUAUAUUGUACCUUGGGUAUCAGGGUUUACUUAAAAGGGUCUAAAUAUAUAGUUGUCUCGAAUUUAGAAGAGUUACUUAGCUAUUUCUUUUAUUGUGGCAGAAAUAUUGUUAAUAGCUAGGUAGGGGUGAAAUGUUAAUCGGUUCUAAAUAUAUCUAGUUUUUUAAGAAAAAAAUUUAAUUUUUUUUUAUUUUGAAUAAUUUUUUACUUUGUUAGAAUUUUAUUAAGUAAAGGUAAUAAUUUAGGGGUUGAGCUUUAGGUUAAAUUUAUAUAAUAGGGGAAUUUAUAUAGUAAAUAUGGAGGAUUUAAAGUUUCUACUAGAGUGAUUUAUAUCUUAGUUGCUUGGUAUAUAAGAUUUAUUAAUAUUAUUUAUGUUUUUUAUUAAAAUUUAGGUUUAAAUAUUGAUUAUUUAGUAAAAAUGGUAAGAUUAGUAUAUUUGAAUUUAGGUAUUUUUUUAAGUUAAAGGCUUAUUUAAGGAAUUCGGCAAAUUAUUUCCCACCUGUUUAUUAAAAACAUGGCUUUUUGAGUAUAAUUGAAGGUCUAACCUGCCCAAUGAUUGAGUAUUAAAUGGCCGCGGUAUACUGACCGUGCAAAGGUAGCAUAAUCAUUAGUUUUUUAAUUGAAAGCUUGUAUGAAAGGUUGAAUGAGGAAAUUACUGUCUCAAGUAAGAUUUAUUAGAAUUUUAUUAUUUUGUAAGAAGGCAAAAAUUUAUAUGAAAGACGAGAAGACCCUAUAGAGUUUAAUAAUUUAAGUAGAAAGGGUAAUUGGGAUAUUUUUUUUUAUUUAUUUGAAUUAUUUGGUUGGGGUGAUUGAAUAAUUUAAUAAACUUUUUUUGUCUAUUUUCACUGAUAUGUGAAUAUUUGAUCCUUAAUAAAGAUUAAAAGAAAAAAUUACCUUAGGGAUAACAGCGUAAUUUUCUUAGAGAGUUCUUAUCGAAAGGAGAGUUUGCGACCUCGAUGUUGGAUUAAAAUUUAGGUUUGGUGUAGCAGCUGGGCUAUUAGGUCUGUUCGACCUUUAAAAUUUUACAUGAUCUGAGUUUAGACCGGCGUGAGCCAGGUUGGUUUCUAUCUUUAUAAAACUAAUAUUUUUUAGUACGAAAGGACCAAAAAUAUAUUAAAUUAGUUUGACUAUGAAUAUUAUUGUUGCUUUGGCAGAAUAGUGUGAUAGAUUUAGGAUCUUUUUAUGUAGCGAGUAUAACUACA
rnacentral:rRNA from 1 species